GGAUUAGAUACCCUGGUAGUCCACGCUGUAAACGAUGAUCACUAGGUGUUCGGCCUUCGGGUUGAGUGCCCAAGCGAAAGCGAUAAGUGAUCCACCUGGGGAGUACGUUCGCAAGAAUGAAACUCAAAGGAAUUGACGGGGGCCCGCACAAGCGGUGGAGCAUGUGGUUUAAUUCGAUGAUACGCGAGGAACCUUACCUGGGCUACAAUGCCUCUGCUAUCCGGUGAAAGCUGGAGUUCCUUCGGGACAGAGUGCAAGGUGCUGCAUGGUCGUCGUCAGCUCGUGCUG
rnacentral:rRNA from 1 species